CCCUUAGAUGUCCUGGGCCGCACGCGCGCUACACUGACAUGUUCAACAAGUUUCUCCUAGUUCGACAGGACUGGGAAAUCUUUGAACGCAUGUCGUGAUAGGGAUAGAUCAUUGCAAUUAUUGAUCUUGAACGAGGAAUUCCUAGUAAACGCGAGUCAUCAGCUCGCAUUGAUUACGUCCCUGCCCUUUGUACACACCGCCCGUCGCACCUACCGAUUGAAUGUUUCGGUGAAGAUUCCGGAUAGGACUGAUUUGAUUUAUUUCAUUUCUGACCUAAAAGCUAUUUAAACCUCAACAUUUAGAGGAAGGUGAAGUCGUAACA
rnacentral:rRNA from 1 species